GGCUUACUCCUAAGUAAGUGUGAGCAGUUUUGUGGGGCCGCACAAAGGGUUGAAAGGAAAGGGGAAAGAUGCAACAUAGCUACACACACACUGGCCUGGUUCCCACAACACGACUUGGCUUCAGCUGCUGUGGUACAAACAGUACUUUGCAGCUUUGAAACUUCUGCUACUGAACAGAGCAGAGAACAUCACUACAGAAUUGUACCAGUUGUUCCUGUUGUUCCAUUGUAGAUGAACAACUCACAGAAUGCUGACCAAGACACAGGCAGUGCAGCCCAGGUGAACUGUGAUUCAUCACUGAAGAGAAACAGAUAUGAUCUAAUCAGUCUCACACACAAGAAAUACAUUUUAAAAGGAACCUGG